AUUGAACGCUGGCGGCAGGCCUAACACAUGCAAGUCGGGCGAGUGGCGGACGGGUGAGUAAUGUCUGGGAAACUGCCUGAUGGAGGGGGAUAACUACUGGAAACGGUAGCUAAUACCGCAUACCAUCAGAUGUACCCAUAUGGGAUUAGCUAGUUGGUGGGGUAACGGCUUACCUAGGCGACGAUCCCUAGCUGGUCUGAGAGGAUGACCAGCCACACUGGAACUGAGACACGGCCCAGAAUCCUACGGGAGGCAGCAGUGGGGAAUAUUGCACAAUGGGCGCAAGCCUGAUGCAGCCAUGCCGCGUGUAUGAAGAAGGCCUUCGGGUUGUAAAGUACUUUCAGUCGGGAGGCGUUACCUGCAGAAGAAGCACCGGCUAACUCCGUGCCAGCAGCCGCGGUAAUAC
rnacentral:rRNA from 1 species